GAUGAACGCUAGCGGCAGGCCUAAUACAUGCAAGUCGAACGGCUCGCAAGAGCAGUGGCAAACGGGUGCGUAACGCGUAAGCAACCUGCCCUCAACUGGGGGAUAGCCCGGCGAAAGCUGGGGGUAAACCCGCACGGUCCAGUUUUAUCACCUGGUAAGAUUGGUAAACAUUUAUGGGGUUGAGGAGGGGCUUGCGUCUGAUUAGUUAGUUGGCAGGGUAACGGCCUACCAAGACGAUGANCAGUAGGGGUUCUGAGAGGAUUGGCCCCCACAUGGGUACUGAGAUACGGACCCAACUCCUACGGGAGGCAGCAGUAGGGAAUAUUGGGCAAUGGAGGCAACUCUGACCCAGCCAUGCCGCGUGCAGGAUGAAGGCGCUCAGCG
rnacentral:rRNA from 1 species